GCCUGGGUGGUGGAACUGGUAGACACCCGAGACUUAAAAUCUCGUUCCCGCAAGGGAGUGCCGGUUCGAUCCCGGCCCCAGGUACCA
rnacentral:tRNA from 1 species